rnacentral:rRNA from 1 species
UACGUAGGUGGCAAGCGUUGUCCGGAUUUACUGGGCGUAAAGAGCGCGCAGGCGGUCGUUCAAGUCGCGUGUGAAAGCCCCCGGCUCAACUGGGGAGGGUCACGCGAUACUGAUCGACUCGAAGGCAGGAGAGGGAAGUGGAAUUCCCGGUGUAGUGGUGAAAUGCGUAGAUAUCGGGAGGAACACCAGUGGCAGAAGGCGGACAUCCUGAGCCGGUAUUGACGCUGAGGCGCGAAAAGCUAGGGGAGCAAACGGGG